ensembl:lncRNA
CUGGAUGUAGAAAUAACUGCUUUUUGGCACUCAUCUUGACUCGCUGAUCCUCUGUUUGACAUAUUGACUCUGAGCAAAAAAAAGGAAACAACUCGUUGAAAGAACAUGACUAAGCUUGCCAUUUUUGUGUGGAACUUAAGUUGAAGAAGUCCUAAUCAUAUCAAUGUAUACAUGUCUUUCCUGUCCAAUGUAUAUGUGAACAGUCCAAA